ACCAGUUUUCCUAAAAAAUAAAAAUAAAAACUUAAAACAUAAAUCACUAGAUUUCCUUUGCAAUGCUCAAAGUCUUCUUCUCCGUGUAUAGUGUAUAUCUGUGGCAGAAUUACAGCGCCCCAUACUGGUCCGGUGUUGUGUCGAAGUCUGUUCCCUCUAUGUUCCCCCUUCAGUGUAGCGCUCUCCACGCAAACAGCGUACAGCGCGCGGGCGUGUGAUCGUUUCACUGCGCGUGCUCGUUUUAGGGGCGAAUCAGCGGGAAAGAGUAUCAUGUUUUCAUUGCGUUACGUUUAUUAUGUAUUUAUAUUGUAUUUUUAGAUUCUUUUUUGCUAAUUAUUUGUACAGUAUAAAUUGCUAGGGUACACAUAUCGCUCAUUAAAGCUAGUGCCUGUCCAUUCAAUAAUAAUCCUAAUAAAAUAUGCAUGAAUGCAUACGUAGAAACAAUAAAUACUGAGCACACUGAACGAUAAUGAAAUAGUGCUUUAAAGUCUAUUAAUAUUUCUGUUUAUUUUAAUUAAAGAAAUAUGUUAAAUGGGCUCUAAACAGGUCACUUCUUGUCUGUACAGCACUGAUAGAAGCACUUCAUUUUCAUCUUUUAACAAAUAUCUUAUAUCUUUUAUUAUGAUAUCAUUGGCAGAGGCGCGCGUCCGUCUCGUGCUUUGUGAUCACGUAAUUAUAAACGCGCGUUCUGGAUUUACCGAUUUUCUCCUCAGACAAGUGUUUCUGUUUUGUGGUCGAUUCUGGGUGAAUUUUCACAGGACGUGCAGGUUUAAAUAAGGAGACUAGAGUCGGAGCAGACCUGGGAUGCUAAAGGGUCACGCCCCUUCCCAGUUUCCACCUCGAGGAGGUCCCAAUGCCACCCCAAUGACCAGACACACAAAGUACAAGUAAAAUUAAAUGGAACUUUAUUUAAAUUAUUUAAAAUAGUUGAUUCCGGGAGGGGAAAGGGGAACUUAAAAUAAAGGCCUCUUCUGGCCUCCAGGUGAAGCUUUCUUAAAGGGGAGGGGAUGGGACUCUUUGGGGUUUCCUCCUUGAAUCCGUGGCACCCUCCGUUUAUCCUGGAGGCAGAACUUCAGGGGGAGCAGACUGCAGCUACGGUCAGUACUCUUCGGUAACUCAUUCACUUCUGCAACACAGAAUUGUUACUUUGUAAAUAACUGCAACUUUUCUCUCUCUCUCUUACAGUUAGCUGGUAGCAGGGGAUCCGGUAAGUGCUCUUCAAGUAACUGGCUCGUGUCUCCUCCUCACACUUCACUGUUAGCUGCGACUUUUCUUCCUUACAGGUGGCUGGUAGCAGUGGAUACGGUAAGGACUCUCCAGAUGACUGGCUCGUGGUCUCCUCCUCUAGAGGGUUCGUGAGUUGUUGCAUGCCUCUGUGAAACUGACAAUCUCUGGUUGCUGCUGGUUUGUGGUUGGCAGUAUGGUUCACGAUCUGCGACCCAUGAUGAGCUGGGCUGGAGACAUGAAGAGGUUGUUAACAGGUGAAGAGGUCUGAAGCUAAUACCUGCCAUGGUCUGAUUGGUAUUUCAUGAGGAAUCAUGGGGUCCAUGGUAUUUGAAUUAUGUUGCACCAGGC